UACGAAGGGGGCUAGCGUCGCUCGGAAUCACUGGGCGUAAAGGGUGCGUAGGCGGGUCUUUAAGUCAGGGGUGAAAUCCUGGAGCUCAACUCCAGAACUGCCUUUGAUACUGAAGAUCUUGAGUUCGGGAGAGGUGAGUGGAACUGCGAGUGUAGAGGUGAAAUUCGUAGAUAUUCGCAAGAACACCAGUGGCGAAGGCGGCUCACUGGCCCGAUACUGACGCUGAGGCACGAAAGCGUGGGGAGCAAACAGG
rnacentral:rRNA from 1 species